rnacentral:rRNA from 1 species
CCUACGGGUGGCAGCAGUGAGGAAUAUUGGUCAAUGGGCGCGAGCCUGAACCAGCCAAGUCGCGUGAGGGAAGACGGUCCUAUGGAUUGUAAACCUCUUUUGUCGGGGAGCAACAGCCGCCACGCGUGGCCUUCCGAGAGUACCCUAACAAAAAGGCUCGGCGAACCCCCUGCCAGCCGCCCCGGUAAUUCCGAGGAUGCGAGCGUUAUUCGGAUUUAUUGGGUUUAAAGGGUGCGCAGGCGGAAUAUCAAGUCAGCGGUAAAAUUGAGUGGCUCAACCCCCUCGCGCCGUUGAAACUGGUGUUCUUGAGUGAGCGAGAAGUAUGCGGAAUGCGUGGUGUAGCGGUGAAAUGCAUAGAUAUCACGCAGAACUCCGAUUGCGAAGGCAGCAUACCGGCGCUCAACUGACGCUGAUGCACGAAAGUGUGGGUAUCGAACAGGAUUAGAUACCCGAGUAGUC